rnacentral:rRNA from 1 species
GAUGAACGCUGGCGGCGUGCCUAAUACAUGCAAGUCGAGCGAACGGACGAGAAGCUUGCUUCUCUGAUGUUAGCGGCGGACGGGUGAGUAACACGUGGAUAACCUACCUAUAAGACUGGGGUAACUUCGGGAAACCGGAGCUAAUACCGGAUAAUAUUUUGAACCGCAUGGUUCAAAAGUGAAAGACGGUCUUGCUGUCACUUAUAGAUGGAUCCGCGCUGCAUUAGCUAGUUGGUAAGGUAACGGCUUACCAAGGCAACGAUGCAUGGCCGACCUGAGAGGGUGAUCGGCCACACUGGAACUGAGACACGGUCCAGACUCCUACGGGAGGCAGCAGUAGGGAAUCUUCCGCAAUGGGCGAAAGCCUGACGGAGCAACGCCGCGUGAGUGAUGAAGGUCUUCGGAUCGUAAAACUCUGUUAUUAGGGAAGAACAUAUGUGUAAGUAACUGUGCACAUCUUGACGGUACCUAAUCAGAAAGCCACGGCUAACUACGUG